UACGUAGGUGACAAGCGUUGUCCGGAUUUACUGGGCGUAAAGAGCGCGCAGGCGGUCGUUCAAGUCGAGUGUGAAAGCCCCCGGCUCAACUGGGGAGGGUCACUCGAUACUGAUCGACUCGAAGGCAGGAGAGGGAAGUGGAAUUCCCGGUGUAGUGGUGAAAUGCGUAGAUAUCGGGAGGAACACCAGUGGCGAAGGCGACUUCCUGGCCUGUUCUUGACGCUGAAGCGCGAAAGCUAGGGGAGCAAACGGG
rnacentral:rRNA from 1 species